rnacentral:rRNA from 1 species
AGAUUGAACGCUGGCGGCAUGCCUAACACAUGCAAGUCGAACGGGAGUAGCAAUACUCUAGUGGCGGACGGGUGAGGAAUACGUAGGAAUUUGCCCUUAAGUGGGGGAUAACCCGGGGAAACCCGGAUUAAUACCGCAUGACCUCGAAGAGCAAAGUGGGGGAUCGCAAGACCUCACGCUUUUGGAGAAGCCUACGUCGGAUUAGCUAGCUGGUGAGGUAAUGGCUCACCAAGGCGACGAUCCGUAACUGGUCUAGAGAGGAUGAUCAGUCACACCGGAACUGAGACACGGUCCGGACUCCCGUACGGGAGCCGAGCGAGGUAGGGGAAUAGUUGGAACUAAGUCGGGGCGACGAAGGCCUAGACUACCGAGC